rnacentral:rRNA from 1 species
UUGACCUCAAAUCAGGUAGGACUACCCGCUGAACUUAAGCAUAUCAAUAAGCGGAGGAAAAGAAACUAACAAGGAUUCCCCUAGUAACUGCGAGUGAAGCGGGAAAAGCUCAAAUUUAAAAUCUGGCAGACUU